rnacentral:rRNA from 1 species
UAUUGCACAAUGGGCGAAAGCCUGAUGCAGCAACGCCGCGUGAGCGAUGAAGGCCUUCGGGUCGUAAAGCUCUGUCCUCAAGGAAGAUCAUGACGGUACUUGAGGAGGAAGCCCCGGCUAUACACGUGCCAACAGCCGCGGUAAUACGCAGGGGGCUAGCGUUAUCCGGAAUUACUGGGCGUAAAGGGUGCGGAGGUGGUUUCUUAAGUCAGAGGUGAAAGGCUACGGCUCAACCGUAGUAAGCCUUUGAAACUGGGAAACUUGAGUGCAGGAGAGGAGAGUGGAAUUCCUAGUGUAGCGGUGAAAUGCGUAGAUAUUAGGAGGAACACCAGUUGCGAAGGCGGCUCUCUGGACUGUAACUGACACUGAGGCACGAAAGCGUGGGGAGCAAACA